AUAACGACUCUCGGCAACGGAUAUCUCGGCUCUCGCAUCGAUGAAGAACGUAGCGAAAUGCGAUACUUGGUGUGAAUUGCAUAAUCCCGUGAACCAUCGAGUCUUUGAACGCAAGUUGCGCCCGAGGCCACCAGGCCGAGGGCACGUCUGCCUGGGCGUCGCGC
rnacentral:rRNA from 1 species